CACACUUCCCAAUGAAGGAGUUAGUUAUAUUAGCAGCGUCAAAAAUCCAAGAAUAAAGGAAGUUUACAUGACUGAGGAAGAAGCUGAUAAAAUUGCUGGGUUAGCUGAUGUUGAAUUUGUGAUGCCUGGGGAAUAUCAUGUUCUAUUUCCAAAGCCACCUACUCCACCU